rnacentral:rRNA from 1 species
GAUGAACGCUGGCGGCGUGCCUAAUACAUGCAAGUCGAGCGAACAGACGAGGAGCUUGCUCCUCUGACGUUAGCGGCGGACGGGUGAGUAACACGUGGAUAACCUACCUAUAAGACGGGGAUAACUUCGGGAAACCGGCGCUAAUACCGGAUAAUAUAUUGAACCGCAUGGUUCAAUAGUGAAAGACGGUUGUGCUGUCACUUAUAGAUGGAUCCGCGCCGCAUGAGCUGGUUGGUAAGGUAAAGGCUUAUCAAGGCAACUAGGCGUAGCCGACGGGAGUGGGGGGUCGGCGGCCCUGGAGCUGGGCCGCGGACCAGACGCCUACGGGAGGCCGCAGUAGGCAAUCUGCGGCAGUGGGCGAAAGCCUGACGGAGCGGCGCCGCGUGAGUGGUGGCGGCCUUCCGUUCGUAAUGCUCUGUUAUUAGUGAUGAACAACUGUGUAAGUAACCAUGCCCGUCGUGACGGUACCUAGUCAGAAAGCCCCGGCUAACUACGUG